rnacentral:lncRNA from 1 species
CCGCUCCAAAGGUGCACAACAUGAUGAGAUUUUACAAUUAAAAAAUCCUCCCUACUGUUCAGGAUAAAAAUACGGAAAUCUGAAUAAGAAUCUAGACGCAGGAUACUUAGAGGGUUAUAAAUGGUAAAACUACGAGGGUGAUACAGGGACUCCACAAUACUGAUUUCAUGUUAUAAGAUGCUGGAUGUAUUUUUUACCCAUUUCGGAUCGAGGCUUUGGAGGUCUUAUCACUUUCGGUAAUGUUAGUACCAGUUUCU